rnacentral:rRNA from 1 species
GUGUCAGCCGCCGCGGUAAUACAGAGGUCCCAAGCGUUGUUCGGAUUCACUGGGCGUAAAGGGUGCGUAGGCGGUCGGGUAAGUUUGAUGUGAAAUCUCUGGGCUUAACCCAGAAAUGGCAUUGAAUACUAUUCGGCUAGAGAGUCGGAGGGGGGACUGGAAUACUUGGUGUAGCAGUGAAAUGCGUAGAUAUCAAGUGGAACACCAGUGGCGAAGGCGAGUCCCUGGACGAUUUCUGACGCUGAGGCACGAAAGCUAGGGGAGCAAACAGGAUUAGAAACCCCUGUAGUCC